GUUUGAUUUUGUAAUUUUGACCAUGGCAGUGAAUGGACCUGAGCACUGCAAUCACACCUGUGGGUUUCUCAUUUAGGAAGUAUCUACAUAUCACUUGAGAAGAGGAGCAAAGAUCCAGUGUCCUUGUUGAGCCUUUGCAUCUUGAUGUAUAGAAAUGGAACUACAGCCAGUGAAUUUAAAAGUUGGGUCCUGGUUUUGAAAACCACCUAUGUUCCUCCUGUUUUAGCCAUUCCUAGUGAGAAGGGAAUGCUGGUCAUCUUUGUUUUGUAGCAUGAGCUUUGCUUCUCAAAAUACUCGGUCCUAGUGGCUCCUCUUUCUUCUUAGGCUGGAUCCUUGUGAGGCCAAACUGCUUUUUCAGAGGCAGUUCAACCUUUUGAUGAUAAAUGCAUGACUAAAUAUGUGUGGAUCCUGGAACUUUUACUAAGCAAUAAACAAAUUACUUCCUCAGCUUGCACACUUUUGUGCUUCUUCUGCUUGGGUUUCCCUGUCUUGUAGACUUAUAUAUGCUGUCACACUUCAGCCAUGACAGGGUUAUUUGGAAUCCUGUUUCUUUUUAGUAGGUAUCCGUGG